UGGUUAUCGUUUUCCCUCUGUGUAG
rnacentral:piRNA from 1 species